rnacentral:rRNA from 1 species
UACAGGGGGGGCGAGCGUUGUUCGGAAUUACUGGGCGUAAAGGGCUCGUAGGCGGUUUGUCGCGUCGGGAGUGAAAUCAUCUGGCUUAACUGGGUGCUUGCUUUCGAUACGGGCAGACUAGAGGUAUGCAGGGGAGAACGGAAUUCCUGGUGUAGCGGUGAAAUGCGCAGAUAUCAGGAGGAACACCGGUGGCGAAGGCGGUUCUCUGGGCAUGAUCUGACGCUGAGGAGCGAAAGUGUGGGGAGCGAACAGG